CAGCCGCCGCGGUAAUACGUAGGUCUCGAGCGUUGUCCGGAUUUAUUGGGCGUAAAACGAGCGCAGGCGGUUAGAUAAGUCUGAAGUUAAAGGCUGUGGCUUAACCAUAGUACGCUUUGGAAACUGUUUAACUUGAGUACUGGAGGGGAGAGUGGAAUUCCAUGUGUAGCGGUGAAAUGCGUAGAUAUAUGGAGGAACACCGGUGGCGAAAGCGGCUCUCUGGCUUGUAACUGACGCUGAGGCUCGAAAGCGUGGGGAGCAAACAGGAUUAGAUACCCGAGUAGUCCCUGUCUCUUAUACC
rnacentral:rRNA from 1 species